rnacentral:lncRNA from 1 species
UCUGCAUUGAAAACAAUGCAUUGCUGAACUCUGUGCAGCAAAUAGGGAAGACUGGGAUUGAAGAGGAGAAUGAAAGCAAACCGUAAUUCGUAUAGAUGUUGCCUCUUGCGUUCAUACAAAGUGCUGUGAGACAGUAUCUUCCAGGGACAGACCUUCCUUAUUGGGACCUAAACAGAUGCCCUUCGAGGUGGAGUGGAGAAGAGCCAAGGAAGCCCCAGGCCUUUGGCUUGAAUUUCUGGUGUCUUCAUUUCUUCGUGGCACAAAAAUCCCCUGGAACAGAAUAUCUUUUCACAAGGAAUGUUAAUCAAAGUAGGUGGAAUAAGAAAAAAGAAUACAGGAAUUAUUCACAACAUAAAAGCAGCCACACCAGCAAAUUGGCCCUGACUGGCACUGUCUCCUUCUACAGCAUUGGGCCUGUAGGGACUUGUGGGGGUAGGAUUGAUAACUCAGUUUAGUGCAGGCCAAGCAAUUAGACAGGAUCCUUCACAGGCCAUGAAGUGGUUUUGUGUUUUGUAUGGAGAAUAUACUCUGAGAGUUCCAGCUAUGACAUGCCCCUAUACUUAAUCUGGCUGAUGGCCAAGGUCAGACUGUGGUGUGAGCAGAAUAACCCUCUUGAUCUAUGGAAAUCAGCAGUAUCUUCCCAUGAGCAGGCAGACUAGGGGGUCUAUCACCUGAUGAGCUGUCCUGGAGACUGUUGGGCAAUGGCGGUCUAAACUUGGCCAUCAAGAGUAAAAGAAGAGAAACUGUUCUCCUCUGAACAAUAAACAACAAGAUGCUGACUCUGAGCUUUUGCCUUUAGGGAGAAUGCCUUUGCACUUCUAGCCAUUUGUCUAAAAGUCCCACGCUCAAGCCUCAAUCAAGUUUUUCCUCCUCCAUGGACCCAAUUUAGCCAAUAAAUAUUUAAUGGGUGCAUAUUAGGUGCCCAGAAGGGUUUUAACUUAAGCUGACCUGCUCCGAGGCUGAGUAAAAGCCUUGGUUUGGGUGGAUUCCC